rnacentral:rRNA from 1 species
UACAGAGGGGGCAAGUGUUGUUCGGAAUUACUGGGCGUAAAGGGCGCGUAGGCGGCCCGCUAAGUCGAACGUGAAAUCCCCGAGCUCAACUCGGGAACUGCGUCCGAUACUGGCGGGCUUGAAUCCGGGAGAGGGAUGCGGAAUUCCAGGUGUAGCGGUGAAAUGCGCAGAUAUCAGGAGGAACACCGAUGGCGAAGGCAGGUCUCUGGGCAUUAACUGACGCUGAGGAGCGAAAGCAUGGGGAGCGAACAGG